rnacentral:lncRNA from 1 species
UUCCUAUUUUGCCCUACGCGACUUCCCUCUUCUCUUUUCUAUUUCAUACGACCGACCCCUCUUCCCUCCCAACACACUCCGAUUACCUGCAAUCUUUUGCCGCCAUAGGCUCCACCUCCGUCAGCCGCUGCCAUCGNAAGCCCAAUGUUUCUUAAUUCUUAUCAGCGCCAACAAAAGUCCAAAAAGAAAGCUGAAAGCGCGACAGCGGGAGGAAUCAGAGGAAAGCGGAAUGGGGAACGACUGUGCUGAGAGCGAGACUGCUACAGAUGCCGACUUCCAAGGCGCAAUUAAGAUCGGCUAUGGAAUCGAAACGUUUCUCCGGAUUCUAAGUUAAUCAAUCGCUGCAACGGUCGUAAUAAUAAUCAGGUUCUUAUAUUUCUUCUUCGAUUUCAAUUGAAUGAUUAGAAUCGAUGAUCGAUCUGUUAUUUAUUCCCCAAUUCUCACUUUUCUAAUUUCCAAUUUGGCGAUUCAGUGCUUCUUCUCCUUCGCUUCUUUCUCGGUAAUCACGAAUCACGAUUUCUACCGAUCAUUUUUCGAUUUUGAAGUUCAAUUGUGAGACUGUGAGUCUGUGACAGAUUCACGGACUUGUGACCAUUGACUGAGUCGUGAGUCCUCAGUCCUCACAGACGAAGUUCAUUUUUCGAUUUUGAAGUUCGAUUUUGAAGUUCAUUUUUCGAUUUUGAAGUCCAAUUUUAUCUGUAAGUUCUAUUGUUCUAAUUUCUAGCAUUCAAAUUUCUUAUUUAUCUAUGAUUUUCUAAUUUUUUAUGAAUCUAAUAUUCAUAAUUUUAUGCUAUGUAGAAUCUGAGGAUUGAGAAUCAGCAGCUUACCACUUCCAGUUGCUGCUUAGAGGUUAUUUAAAAGCUCACAGCAUCAACAGUUUACCAACAUUAGCAGUCAACAGUAGGUACAAACAACACGAACUCUAAUCUUCUAUUAUUUGUUAUCUGUGUCAUUGUGUGCUUGUUGUUUGUUUGCAUCAUUGCCUCUUAUCACUCUAUUGAAUAUGCAUCCUAGAAAGUAUAUGUCUGGAAGUGAAAAAAGAAAGAAAAAACAAAAAAUUGAACAAGAUAAUAAAACUCAAAAUGGGUCUAUGCACAGGUUUUAAAAAAAAAAUAGUUCUGCUGAUGUACAAGUAAAUGAACAAGAUAAUCUCACACAUGAAACUAUUUUUAAUGAGCAAGAUAAUGUUAUGAAUGAAAAUUUUUCUCAAGAAAAAGUUUCAAAUGAAAAUGUUGAUUUUGAUGAUGAAAAGAUUAAUAAUGAAGAUGUUAAUGUCAAUAAUGAAAAUGUUAACAUUUCAAAUGAGAAUGAGAAUGAAAAUGUCAUGAAUGAUAACAAUGAACAAUUUAUUCCACCUUUAGAUAUAUAUGAUCCUAGUAAUUGGGAUAAUCUUGAUAAUAACUUAAGAGAUAUUUUGAUUGAAAAAGGGCCAAUAAGAGAAUCAAAUUUUGUGUAUCCUAAAGAUAAUCUAUCUACAUUUUUCUUAUGCUUCUUAUACUAGAAAGUUAAGUAAUGGUGACACAAUAGAUCGAAAAUGGUUAAUUUACUCAAAAAAAGUUGAUAAAGUGUUUUGUUUUUGUUGUAAAUUGUUUAAACCUAAUAAUUAUGUUAAUAAAAUUUCUUUAGCAAAUGAUGGAUUUAAUGAUUGGAAACAUCUUUUUGAUAGACUUAAAGAACAUGAAAAUAGUUCCCAACAUCUUUUUUGUAUGGAUUCUUGGGAUGAACUAAUAGCAAGAUUUGAUAAGAAUAAAACAAUUGAUAAAGAUUUGCAAAAUAGUUUUAACUGAAAAAGAACGUUGGAGACAAGUUUUAAAAAGAAUAAUUGCUGUCAUUAAAUAUUUGGCAAAAUAUAAUUUGGCUUUUCGAGGUUGUAACGAAAAACUUUUUCAAGAAUCUAAUGGUAAUUUUUUGGGAGCAAUUCAAAUGAUGGCAGAAUUUGAUGUUAUAAUGCAAGAACAUGUUAGACACNGGUGCCGCCUUCUUUUUUUUAUUAAAAAAAAACAUUAUGAGGGCCCCGAAUUUUGCUUUGGCCCCGGGCCCCAAAUUGUCUAGGACCGACCCUGUUUGUUACCAUCUGAAAAGAAAAAGAGGCGUGUCUUCCAAUUUUGCCCUACGCGACUACCCUCUUCUCUUUUCUAUUUCAUACGACCGACCCCUCUUCCCUCCCAACACACUCCGAUUACCUGCAAUCUUUUGCCGCCAUAGGCUCCACCUCCGUCAGCCGCUGCCAUCGCUGCCCUUCGGAUCUCCGGCGCCACCCUCCCAUACCUUCGGUGCCAGCCUCCCAAGCAUACGUCGCCACUGUCGCACAUCAGAGGUCGGCUUCACGUAUGUAUCGUUUUUUAUUUUUUCCUUUUUUCU